rnacentral:rRNA from 1 species
UACGUAGGGUGCGAGCGUUAAUCGGAAUUACUGGGCGUAAAGUGUGCGCAGGCGGCCGAGCAAGUCGAGUGUGAAAGCCCCGAGCUUAACUUGGGAACUGCGCUCGAAACUACUUGGCUAGAGUGUGGCAGAGGGAGGUGGAAUUCCACGUGUAGCGGUGAAAUGCGUAGAGAUGUGGAGGAACACCGAUGGCGAAGGCAGCCUCCUGGGCUAACACUGACGCUCAUGCACGAAAGCGUGGGGAGCAAACAGG